ACUUCCGGGGGGCCUGAGGGGAAACCGUGUGAGGGGUGGGGUGGGCUGCUGGAGGCCUGGGUCCUUCCCCUCUAAAGUAUAUGAGGACUUCGGUCCAGGGGCUGGCAACAAAGAAUAGGAGGUAACGAGUGAAUGCAGCGAGUGUCCCCUAAACCACAGCCAGAUGAGCCGAGGUCAGCAGGGCCCUGAAGUGACUUGGGUGAUACCUACUCUCCCCCCACACGGCACCACCACCACCUUGAGACAGGCAUACAAGGUGCGGGGGGCUGGGUACCUGACACUUUGGACAAUGGGGCCGCAGGGCAGAGUUCUUGGCAGUGGGCACCAGCGUGGGGAUAGGCGAGGACAAUCACGUUGCCCCCAGCCUGCCUAGAGCCCGUCUUUGGGGAUGCUAACCGCAAGUUCCUCCAAGGGUGCUUAGGGCCCUGGCCACCCAUCCCGUCCCAGAGAGGUGGCUACUGGAGAGGAAGGCAGAUCAGCCUGGAAGCAGGAUCUCAGAGGACGGUCCUUAGCCCACCAGCAUCAGAAAUCUCUGGCAUGUUUGUUAAAACAGCAAAGCCCUCAGCCGACCACAGACUGUCCGAAUUGCAUCUGGGGGUGGGGCCCUGGAACCUGCAUAUCUAACAUGGGCACCUCAGUUUGAGAAGACAGCUCUACGUCCCCCUUGCUCUUGGGGCAUCAUCUCCCGGCAGCCUCUGGACAUUCGGCCAGGCCCACCUCCCAGACCCUGAUGGAUGCAGCCUUCUGGGUGACGGGUACCUCCUAGGUACCCCUCCAUCUGGCCCUGGCAACACUAUCACCCUGAGGCUUCCGGUUCAGAACUUGGGCUCUGGGCUUCCUGCCAGAGUCUGGAGGUGCACAGCAACGGCCCCACCUGCAGCUCCUUCCUGGGACCUGUAAGCAAGGGCUGCAAGGAGGGGGCAGGGCAGGGCCCGGGCAUGCCGGGACCUGGGGUGCCUCCGCCCACUGAUGUCAGGAAUGCGCUGCCUGGGGGUGCUGGCAAGGGGGCGGGACUUCUGCCUGCACCUCACUCCUCGGGCUCAGACCUCACCCUGGGAAGUGUGGCUGGGGGUGGGGGUGCGGCUUCUUUAAGCAGAGCAGUGCUAGGAGGUGCGGGCAGGAAGGCUGGCAGGGCACCAGGGUGGCAGCCAGGCCCGGUUAGUCAUCCACUGUCUGGGCCGGAGAGGGUGCCCGGUGAGUCCACUGCCUGACCACCCAUGGACAUCUGCCCCCGGCGCAACUGACAGAUACCGGCAGGCGCCUGGUCCCCGGCUCAGAAUCUGUCAGCCUCAAACAUUCAUUGACAACCUACGAUGGCCUGACACAGAGCUGAGAACCUCCAGGGGUGUCAGAGACGAACCAGAACAUCUUCCAGGGAGGCCUUCACCUUGACCCCAUAUUCGAGUUUUCACCUUGACCCCACAUUCAGAGAGCUCUCAGAUGCCUUACGGUGACUUCCAGUCUGGGCUUGCAGUGUGAUUAUAGAAACCCGACGCACAGGUUUGUUGGAAAACAGUAGAGCUGAGGCCCAGAAGUCGCUCACUACGAGAUAGUUGUGCUGCACUGUGGAUUACACUUGUAUUCCCAGCACCCGUGACGGUCACUCACACGCGGUAGUGCGUCUUCAGCCACCGUGUGUCCAGCUGAAUUCAGUUGGCCACAUGCUCCGUACGGCCCUAAAUCAGAGAACACAGUAGAGACCCAGCCGGGCCCUGAGUAACACAGGUUGCAGCCUUCUCCCUGCCCCUGCCCCUCAUCUGAGCACUCCACCCCCCAGCCCUCGCUGCGGACCUCACCCGUGAGUGGAAGGGCAGUGACGCCAGCUGCCCCUGAUCUGAAAUGCGCUUGCAAGUUUUGACACCCUUAGAUGUCCGAACAAUGCACAGCUGUCCUUGCUGCCAGUGUGCCGGGCAGUGGAGCCCCUACCCCAACGCGCAUCAGCCUCUGACUCACCUUUAGUCAUCUCUGACCCUCAUUUCUUUGCAAAGAGGUGACGGUCAUGCCCAACUCUGGGAAUAGUUGGGACAUAACUGAGACCAUACCUGAGGCGCACCUGGUAUGGGACCACCCCCUAUGCCCUUCCUUCUCUUCCCUUGGACAAUCAUUACCUGGCCCCAGGGCUUUACUACCCUGACCCUAUUCAAAACUAACCUUAGACGACUCGCUGCUCAGCCCGGGGCUUGAGGUUCCUCCACGACCACCUGCUUCCCUUUGGUCCUUGCACCCUCCACUCCCAUCCUUUCCCCCUGGCUCCAGCCCGUGGGGGAGGGAGAUCAUCCCCCAAAUCCGGCUCGCCCCUUUCUCGAGACCUUUGCCCGGAGUGCCUGAAAGCAACAUGCCAGCAUCUUCCUGCCCAUCGACAGCUCCCCUUCCAUCAAGGCCAAUCGAGGCCCAGUCCCAGCUCCCCGGGCCUCGACGGAUGCUUUCUGCUCUGGCACAGCCCUGUUUUUCCCUCGGACAGAGCGCUCGCCAUAUUGGGCCAUAUGUCACUUAUUAGCUGGGGCGAAGUUGCUUAAGCUCUCUGUGACUCAGUCUCUCUGUCUGCACUGGAGCUAAUAACUGCACUCUAACCUUAGAGUCCUUGCGGAGAGUAGGUAAGAACGUGCACAGGGCCCGCCGCAGAGUAAAUAGGCCAAUAAAUGUUAUUUUUUUUUUAUUGAGAUGGUGGGGGGGGGGGGUGACGACAGGGCUCCCAACAGCCCUGACUCUCAGAGAAGGCAAGCCCAGACCGCCCCCCUCUCUCUCCACCCUGCCCAUAGCUCCUACGACACUGCUCUGCUGGGAGUGGAGGUCAGUGAUAAUGCCUCAGAUUGAAGCUUCUCUGGUCCAUCAAACAAAUCGCAGUGCUCCUUUGUGGGUUCCCUUCGGCUCCAUUCACUGCGGUGCAUGGACGUUUCUGUGCCUGGGAAAUGGACCCCCAAGAGCUGGUAGAGUUAUCAGCCCCUGGGGAACCCCCAUCACAGAGGAGCCUGGCUGACCUUCCCCGGGGCUCAGAGUGGGACUCCAACACAGAGAUGGGGACCGGUGGAGAGUGGGCAUCCUGGAAUUCUUCCUGGAGGAGGAAAAUGGGGAGAGCUAGGCUGAGAAAAGGGGUGACAGGUUUCACGGGGAGUCUCAUUGCGCCAAGCUCUUUAUGUAGAUUGCGACCUUUAUUUUUCAGGAGGAGCCUGUGAGGUCAGUCCUGUAAUCUGCUUUUCCAGAAGGAAGCAAAGGCCCGGACUGACAAAGCGACAUGCCCAAGGUCACACCAUUCCAGAGGGGAGCAGGAUUCUAGUCCUGAUCUGCUGGGCUCUGAGGGGAGGGCCAGGCCGAGGAUGGUGGGAGAAUUCCAGACUCUGGCCAGCUGCCCCUGCAUCCAGGGAGGCUGUGGGUGGGGUGGAAACAGCCACCAGAAGCCAGGGGCACGCGGCAAACAAGGGUGCCAGGAAAUGAACCGGACCCAGGGUCCUUCCUCCCGGCCCGCCCUGUGCCCCUGGCCAACUGCCACCUCCCUUUGAGGCUUCUCCCUGCAAGAGAACAGAGAAAGCUGGGCCGGAGCCCAGGGAUGGCCCUACACGGGGGGAGAGGGGGGACCAGGAGGGUCUUGAAGCCCAGGAGGAGCCCUGCCAGGCCUAAGCGCCCCCUGUCCUGGGAAGAGAGAUAGAGAUCCCAGGGGUCUCAUCCUGUUUGUCUCAGGUGGAGCUCAGACUGGGGCCUCGCACAGAGAAGGCGCUCAAUAAAUGUGUGUCGAAAGGAGGUACAGCAGGUGUGCCGUCCAAACUGCGAGGCUGGAGGUGAAGAGGCCGGGUCCGGACACGGUUUCUGCCCCCGCCUCGUGACCCUGGACGAGUCUCAGAACGUCCCUAUCCGUCAGAUCAAGCUGUUAUCCUGGAAUGUGCACCAUCGCUUGGGUCCCUUCCAGCUCUGACAGUGCAGUUCUAGUCAUUCUUUUACUCACUCGCUAAUUUGUUGUCUCAGCGAAAUACAUCGUGGAGCCCGAGAAAUAUACUUUGGUACUAAUGAGGCAGUGGGCAGAGUGGCGGCAAUCGGCAAAGCUUGUGGGGGGAUAGUGACGGGUCCCCCUCUUGAGCAGGGACUCUGGGGUCAGAUGGCCUGGGUUCAGAUUCUCCCUCCAUGACCUGCUCACCGAGUAACCCUGGGCAAGUUACUUACUCACGUUGAACUUGGACUUCCUCAUCUGUAAGAUGGAGAUGAUAGGAGGAUAUACUUCAUAGGGUUAUUGUAAAAAUUAAAUGGGAUAAUACAAAUAAGUUGCUUAGGGAAAUAGUACACAGCAGGCGCCCAACAAGUCUUAGCUCUUCCCGUUCCUUAGAAGGCGAGCGAACUCCAGCAGACAAAGGGGGCUGCUGUGUGGGUGCAGGGGUAGGGGUGGGGGGAAGCAUCAGAACAGCAUGUGCUUAGAUACAGAGGCGGGAAAAUCCAGUACUGCCGAGGAGCACCAAGAGACCCGUCCAGACUAAGUGGGAAGAGGUAAGUUGGGCGCAGAUGGUGAGCGGCUUUGGUCAGGCUAAGAAACUUGGAUCUGAUCCUGUAGGUUGGCAUUUCCCAACUGCUGCUCCCCAGAAUUCCAUGAGCCGUUACUGGAUGUUUUAUAAAUAUUUCAGGGCACCCGGGUGGCUCAGUCAAUUAAGCGUCCGACUCCGGCUCAGGUCAUGAUCUCGUGGUACGCGAGUUCGAGCCCCGCAGUGGGCUCUGGGCUGACAGCCCAGAGCCUGGAACCUGCUUCGGAUUCUGUGUCUCCCUCUCUCUCUCUGCCCCUCCUCCGCUCACAUUCUCUCUCUCUCUCUCUCCCUCCCUCAAAAAUAAAUAAAAUUUAAAAAUUAAAAAAUAGGGGCGCCUGGGUGGCUCAGUCGGUUAGGCGUCCGACUUCAACUCAGGUCACGAUCUCGCGGUCUGUGAGUUCGAGCCCCGCGUCGGGCUCUGGGCUGACGGCUCAGAGCCUGGAGCCUGCUUUCGAUUCUGUGUCUCCCUCUCUCUCUGCCCCUCCCCCGUUCAUGCUCUGUCUCUCUCUGUCUCAAAAAUAAAUAAACAUUAAAAAAAUAAAAAUUAAAAAAAAUAUAUAUAUAUAAAUAUUUAAGGGGUGGGGGAUGGGGGAGAGGACGGGAUGACUGGAUGUCCACCUGCAAAAGAAUAAAGCUGGACCCCUACUUCAGAUCAGGUACAAAAAUUAACUCAAAACGGAUCAACGAUCUAAAUACAAGAGCUAAACCAAAAACUCUUAGGAGAAAGCAGAGGGGUAAAUCUUCGUGAUCUUGGAUUUGGCAAUGGAUUCUCAGAUGUGACCAAGGGAAGCAGCGAAAGAAAAUAUAGGCAAACCCAAUGCCGUGGUCUCGAUGUUUAGGCCCGUCCCCCUCCCCACCACAUCUGUAUGUGACAGUGCUGAUCUCCAAGGUGGAGGUGGGGCCUUUGAGGGGUGAUUAGGUCGGGAGGUCAGAGUUUCUGGAUUGGGAUCAGUGCCCUUAUAAAAAGAAGCUCCCCAGAGCCCCCCAGCCUCAUGUGAGGAUACAGGGAAAAGUCUGCAACCCGAAGAGCGUCCUCACCUGACUGUUGUUGUGCCCUGAUCUUUGACUUCCAGCCUCCAGAAUAAACGUCUGUUGUUUAUAAUCUA